rnacentral:rRNA from 1 species
UACGUAGGGGGCUAGCGUUGUCCGGAAUCAUUGGGCGUAAAGAGCGUGUAGGCGGCUCGGUAAGUCCGCUGUGAAAGUCGGGGGCUCAACCCUCGAAUGCCGGUGGAUACUGUCGGGCUAGAGUGCGGAAGAGGCGAGUGGAAUUCCUGGUGUAGCGGUGAAAUGCGCAGAUAUCAGGAGGAACACCAAUUGCGAAGGCAGCUCGCUGGGACGUAACUGACGCUGAGGAGCGAAAGCGUGGGGAGCAAACAGG